rnacentral:rRNA from 1 species
UACAGAGGUCUCAAGCGUUGUUCGGAUUCACUGGGUUUAAAGGGUGCGUAGGUGGGCAAGUAAGUCAGUGGUGAAAUCUCCGGGCUUAACCCGGAAACUGCCAUUGAUACUAUUUGUCUUGAAUACUGUGGAGGUCAGCGGAAUAUGUCAUGUAGCGGUGAAAUGCUUAGAUAUGACAUAGAACACCAAUUGCGAAGGCAGCUGGCUACACAAAUAUUGACACUGAGGCACGAAAGCGUGGGGAUCAAACAGG